GACCCCAUAGUUCAAUGGAUAGAACGAGAAUCUCCUAAGUUCUAGAUGCAGGUUCGAUUCCUGCUGGGGUCACCA
rnacentral:tRNA from 1 species